CCUUGUGGAGGUAAACAUCACGCCGCUCCCCCUGCCACUCUCCACCGCCAAACGCCUUAUCUCCCGCACCUGCCACUCUAUGUGGGACGACACACUCCAUGACACCCUCUGCACCACCUCCAUGGGCCAGUACCGCACCACCUCCUCCCCACAGCCUUGGGUGAGGAAAACGUCCCGCGUCCUGGACGUGGCCUUGACGCGCCUCCGCCUGGGCCACACAACGCUCACCUCCACCGACCCUCACCGGUGCAGGACCGUCGAGGACACCAUUUAGCACCUGCUGCUGCACUGCCCACGCCACCACUCCCAGCGAGUGCUGCUCCGACACCAACUCCGCGCCCUGGACGUGCUGCCCACCUUUGACCUGCCCACGCUGCUGGCGGCGGCAGGCGUCCACCCACCACGGCAGGAACCUGUCAUCCGCCUCACCUGCGCCUUCCUCAGGAAGACGGGGCAGCUCAGAGGCCUUGACGACAAGGAGAUGCUUCUUCCUCCUGCGUCUGGCUACGUCAGCAAAGUUGGUGCGACCCGACUCAGCACAAAGCACACCGGCCACUUCACUCAGCUCCUUCACACUGGAUACCCAAGAUUCAACUUCAUCUCUCACAACUAUUAUUUCUUUAGCCCAUCUCUUGCACCCCGGGAUGUGGUGUUGGCCAUGCUGGGAGGAGCACAGCACCAGGAGACAGCUGCUCAAGUGAGGGUCUGAGGCGGACGCUGCAGCGCUCGCUGCGUCCACGCUGCCACUGACCUCAGGACCCCUUGGUGCAUUCCUCGCCUCGCCUGCCGCUUGGUCCCUGAGUGUGGCGUUGGGGGAACCUUGCCACCCGCUGCAGCUUCCCUGAGGUUCCUGCAAGACCCUCACCCCAGGAGUGGUGGGCAGGGGAGGCUGCAAGGCCGGGCAGCAGCCUGAGUGGCGGGCGGGACCAGCAGGAACACUGCCACUGCUGUGAGGACCAGAAGAACACACCCACCACCACCACCACCACCACUGACAACAACAAUAAUACUGCCACCACCACUGACAACAACAACAGCAACUAUAUCACCACCACCACCACCACCUUGCUGCUGGCACCUUCGGCCACAAAGGAAAGGGAAAGUUUGAGUGUGACAAGAUUUGAGACUGGGAGCAAGUUCAGCAGACACAGCCUUGCACACUGGUGAGGGAAACCAUGA